GACGAACGCUGGCGGCGUGCCUAAUACAUGCAAGUUGAGCGCUGAAGGUUGGUACUUGUACCAACUGGAUGAGCAGCGAACGGGUGAGUAACGCGUGGGAAUCUGCCUUUGAGCGGGGGACAACAUUUGGAAACGAAUGCUAAUACCGCAUAAAAACUUUAAACACAAGUUUUAAGUUUGAAAGAUGCAAUUGCAUCACUCAAAGAUGAUCCCGCGUUGUAUUAGCUAGUUGGUGAGGUAAAGGCUCACCAAGGCGAUGAUACAUAGCCGACCUGAGAGGGUGAUCGGCCACAUUGGGACUGAGACACGGCCCAAACUCCUACGGGAGGCAGCAGUAGGGAAGCUUCGGCAAUGGACGAAAGUCUGACCGAGCAACGCCGCGUGAGUGAAGAAGGUUUUCGGAUCGUAAGACUCGGUUGGUAGAGAAGAACGUUGGUGAGAGUGGAAAGCUCAUCAAGUGACGGUAACUACCCAGAAAGGGACGGCUAACUACGUG
rnacentral:rRNA from 1 species